GAAGAUCUGUUACAAUUUAAUUUAGAUCACUGUUGUUCUAUAUACACUAUCAAAACCUGAACUUCAUAUUUCAAUAACAACUAAAUCCGGCAAGUUUGGCAAGAAAUGAAAUGUAAUCUGGACAUUCUGCCUUCUAAGCUUCCUGAUGGACUAUAAAUUCUUAGAAAGAUUACCGUAUUGUAGUCACCUAUUUCAACAAUCUCCUAACCAAUGAUCAGGGUACAUCUCACUCAUUAUAGAAGGAUGCUGACUCAGUUUUUCAGGAUAGUGAAUGGCAAGUUGCGGUAUAGAAAAUGGCCCAACGAUCACCAGUGUGUGUGUGUGUUUUUGUGUGAGUAGUGAAUGAAGUAUUAUGAAACAAUGUGUGUAUAGUGUUUGCAGUGACUGGUAGUGAGAUAUUAGUGAACAGUGUGGCAUUACAUUAUUUCAUAAGUUAUUUGUAAAAAAAGUAUUGUAUACCUGGAGUAAAUCUAAUGAUUGUCUCUAACUAGAAGUCUGUAAAUGUAUGUGUAUACG